rnacentral:rRNA from 1 species
UACUGUGAUCGUACCUUCUUGUCACAGCCCGAUCUCGUCACAUUUCAGAAGCUAAGCAAGACUGGGCCUGGUUAGUACUUGGAUGGGAAACUGCUGGGAACACCAGGUGCCACAGUUC